AAGUGUUUGCAAUGAGUUUUUGUAGUUUCUAAGCAAUGCUAUUAUUCUUUUUACUAAUUUAUUUUCUUAUUUUUUUGAGGCAGGAUCUUGUAUAGCCCAAGCUUGUAACAAACUUAUUCUGAAUCUGAGGCAUAUACCAUCACACCUGGCUCUAAAAUUUUGUUUAUGAGGCAGAGUAUCAUGUAGUCCAGGAUGGCCUCAAACUACCUGAAGAUGGGUAUGAACUUAUGACUUUGCCUUGACUGAUCAAGUUCCAAGAUUACUGGGAAAAAUGGACUUAACAGAGUCAUCUACUUACAGCUUUGCUUUUAAUUCUGUCGUACCUGAAUCUACAAUCAUCUUUCCGGAAACAAGGCAUGAGCAAGUAAAAACUUUCAGAGUGUCUACGCACAUACAGCCGUUUUCCUCCUUGGCAUAGCAGCACAUGUCCAGGGCAGCUGAAGGAGGAGGCUUACAAAUUAGACCCUGUCUCAGAAAACAGGCUUUUUUUCCCUGGGGCAGGGGGAGCAGGCUCAGGGAAUAUGCUCAGUACACAGUAAAUAUAUGUCCAAGAUUUUUUUAAAAAGCAAAAUACUUUUAAAAAGACAUCAACACAAAAUCCAAAAGAGGAGAAAGAAAGAAAGAAAAUCAGAAGUGCUGGGGAGACAAGAGCAGUGUUAGAAAUGUAGUUCAUCCAGUCAAUUCAGUCUUGUCCUUUUCACAAUCCUUGAUGAGCACUAGGACCAAGAGCAAUGCUGGUUCAGGAGGGAAAUAGGUCCCUUAAUGCACCCUAUCCUCUACUCCUGGGUUUGCCUCUUGACUUUAGGUUCCCAUGGUUCCUAUCUUCAUCAUGUUCUCCUCUUUCAUUCCUUUGAGAUCUCAAAGAUUAGCACUCAGACUUAGCUCUAUGUAUAAGCAUGAGCAAUAGCUCAGAGUGAGCUGUGGACCUGAGGGCCUAGAAACGACUGUGUUGUGUUCUAUUGAAACUCCUCCACACUCCCUGCCAGCAGCUUUCUUGUUGAUGACAGCCAGCCCGCUUGGGAUACUACUCAAUUACUACUUUUGGUUUUUUAACAAUUUGCAUGAAUCUCAAAACCAUUACACUGAACAAAACAAAACAAAACAGUCUCACACUGAACAAGCCCCUUAAGUGCAAUCUAGGAAAAAGCAGAACCUGGACUAGAGAUGAGUCAGUGGCGAAGGGUGCUGCUUACUGCUCCUGCACAGGAUCUGAAUUUGGUCCCCAGCACGCAUGUCAGGUGGUCUGCAACCCUCUGGAAUUCCAGUUUCAGGGGAUCCAACACUACUGCUCUCUGCCAGACUUACGCUCAUAUGUACUCAAAUAAUUAAAGAUAGUAAAAUAUGUCUUUUUUAAGAAGGAAAGGGAAACCAAUUCACAGAGAUCAAAAGAGCAUGAGUUGGGGACCCAAGAAAACGAGGAGGAAGGACUUUCUAGGUUGCUAAGAAUGCUCCCUAUUGUAGCUUUUUCUUUAGGGAAUGUUGCUUAUUCACAUGUAUAUAGCUUCCUAAAUUUACACAGUCAUAUUCUAAAGACAACUAAAGGUUUUAAAAAUUCAAGAUGGUUGGCUUCUGCAUCUAAGUACAAGCACAGUUCAGGGUCUCCUGUUGGAAAUUCUGGGAAGAUUCCAUGGAGUUCAAGAGAAUGUGGCAAAAGUCCCAGAAUAGCCCAUAGAAGAGCAUGUGAUCUUUUGUAUUUAUCUCUGCCCCAGGAACAAACUAUUAAAAUACUAAAUAAUCAUGA